UCCCCCUGGCAGUGAGCAAAGAGAUAUCUUGGUGGUGGCGUUCAUGUAUCAGCCAGGGGCAGAGCAGAUGGCAGCCCUCUGUUUGUCUUAACUUGAUGCCUGGCUUGGUGGCCAAAGCUGUUUUAUGCCUAGGACUCAUAA